rnacentral:snRNA from 1 species
GGAUGUGAGGGCGAUCAGGCUGCGACAUCUGUCACCCUAUUGAUUGCCAGGGUUGAUUCAGCUGAUCUGGCUGGCUAGGCAGGUGUCCCCUUCCUCCCUCACUGUUCCAUGUGCUUUCCCCCUGAAGCUGCGUGCUCGGUGGAAGAGGACGACCAUCCCUGAUAGAGGAGGACUGUUCUUCUGUCAAGGGUAUACCGAGUAGCUGUGCUCCCCUGCUAGAACCUCCAAAUAAGCUCUCAAUGUCUUCUUGGUCAACACCUUCUAAUAGUUGGAAAAUCUCAGGUGGAUUUUCAGUCUUCUUACUAUUCUGCAUGAAUUAGGACAAGUGAUUGGUUGCCAUAGAUU